rnacentral:rRNA from 1 species
AUGUCAAAAGCUAAGAGUGGCAAAAGUGAAAUGAAAAAUUAUCGUUUUUGCCACGAAAUGGAAUUUGUGAUGUAUUGUCAAAAGCUAAGGGUGGCAAAAGUGAGAUGUCAAAUUCUAGAGUGGCAUAAGCAAAGUUGGCAAAAACUAGAGUGGCAAAAACAAAGUUUUCCCAUAUCUGUGUUGUGUGUAUGCAGGCAAUUCCCAUGUUUCAGACUCAGUAGUCACUAUUUUUUUGAAGCAGUCAAACUACUAGCAAGAAUAGAUGGCCAGCUUAAUAUUUUCUAUUUCAUGCAUGAUUGA